rnacentral:rRNA from 1 species
CCUACGGGGCGCAGCAGUCGAGAAUCAUUCACAAUGGGGGAAACCCUGAUGGUGCGACGCCGCGUGGGGGAAUGAAGGUCUUCGGAUUGUAAACCCCUGUCAUGUGGGAGCAAAUUAAAAAGAUAGUACCACACGAGGAAGAGACGGCUAACUCUGUGCCAGCAGCCGCGGUAAUACAGAGGUCUCAAGCGUUGUUCGGAAUCACUGGGCGUAAAGCGUGCGUAGGCUGUUUCGUAAGUCGUGUGUGAAAGGCGCGGGCUCAACCCGCGGACGGCACAUGAUACUGCGAGACUAGAGUAAUGGAGGGGGAACCGGAAUUCUCGGUGUAGCAGUGAAAUGCGUAGAUAUCGAGAGGAACACUCGUGGCGAAGGCGGGUUCCUGGACAUUAACUGACGCUGAGGCACGAAGGCCAGGGGAGCGAAAGGGAUUAGAUACCCGGGUAGUC